CAGUCGCCGCGGUAUUACGAACCGUGCGAACGUUAUUCGGAAUCACUGGGCUUAAAGCGCGUGUAGGCGGGCCGCCACGUCGGCUGCUGAAAUCCCCCGGCUCAACCGGGGAACGGGCACCGAUACGAGCGGCCUGGAGGGGGGUAGGGGGGACUGGAACUUCCGGUGGAGCGGUGAAAUGCGUUGAGAUCGGAAGGAACGCCCGUGGCGAAAGCGAGUCCCUGGACCCUUUCUGACGCUGAGACGCGAAAGCCAGGGGAGCGAACGGGAUUAGAUACCCGUGUAGUCCCUGUCUCUUAUA
rnacentral:rRNA from 1 species